CAUCCGGCCAAAUGGGGGCUCACCAGCUGCCCGUGGACGGAGUGGGAGGAGGCCCCCAGUCUCCAGGAGGCUCCAUGCCUCAGGCUCAGACCGGCAGCUCGGGAACCCAGCUAGCAGGAUGAACUCCAGCAGAGGAACUCAGCGCCAUUGCUGCGGCUGUGGGCCAGAAGAGAAAGAGAAAGAGAAAGAGAAUCCGCCUCGGUGUGACAAGCUGUGCCUCAGAACCCGAGCAGCAGGAGAGUGGGCAGCAAAGCCGAGGGGAAGGGCCGGUAUGAAGGAGGCGCCCGAUGGGAGGGGCGAGUUCUCCCCCUGCACCAUUCCAGUCCACUCCGGGUUUCCUGUAGAAGGGGGAGCCCCCCAAAGUCCAUCUGUGUUUCCCCACCUCACUCACACACUCAGGGACCCUCGGCUGCUCCCCGGGGCGCUGACUGACAUUUUUGCCGAAUAAAGGGGCCCUGUGGGUUUCCUGUUCCCAUCUCAGCUUCUGCUGAACAGGGUAAACUUCCCUUCCGAAUAAAACCACCAGAAUGCGGUCUGGCCAAUUUCAGUCAUAGACCCACCAGGCCUGUGUCCCUGCGUGAGGGGGUGGGAAAAGCCCAGAGUGCCCCUACCCGUCCCCUGGGAGGGGUGGAAGGGCAGCUCUUGCUCCCCCUGCAGAGACGCUGCGCGGACUGGGAAGGCUGCCAGCCUCGCCCGGUCUCCCUGUGGACCCUGCCCUGACCCCACCCCAGCUUCCUGGCUCCCUGCACCCCACUGGGCUUCCCUGCCCCACAGAGCCUGGUGGUAGGGAGACCUCCGGAUGGAGACAGCCCACAGUCCCGGAGCCCCAAGGCAGGCACCAGUGAGUCCCUCGUGACGGCCUCGCUCCCUGCAUCACAUGGAACCUCGUGACCCACGUGACGACGCCAGUGCCCCCGUGGCCCCUUCCUGCUGCUGGACGUGAUGCAGUCAAUGGAAGCCCAGGUCUGUCACGCACCGCCUGUGCUUGCCCAGAGCAGGUCCCAGUCACCCCCUCUGGCACCGCCUGCUGCACACCAGGAACC
rnacentral:lncRNA from 1 species